rnacentral:lncRNA from 1 species
UUAUUGUUCACGAAUUAGUCAAUUUAAUGGUUCUAAUCAACCAAAUCAUUUGGGACCACCACUAAUACUUGUGACUACCACCUCACAACUGUCGUCAGUCGCAACGCCAUCAAAACUGCCACGUACCAGAACCACCACCACCACCACACCCACAACAUCACAGUAAUGCCAUCGCCACUGUCACACCCACAACAUCAUAGAACCACCACCGCUAUACCUACAGCAUCACAGUACUCACCGCACCACCACUGCCAUCUUAACCAUUCAAACAAACCAACACCAACUACCAAAAACAACCACUAUUUCACAUAAUUACCGUUAACUACCAAAGUCAUCUCACUCAUAGCUACUAACAAAGUCAGCACCUCACCACCAUCAUCACCUCAUUGUCAACACCACCACUACAAGCAGCACCACCACCAAAUACAUCAUCACUACAUCCCAUCCCGACAACCAGAGCCGGUCCUGUGAUUUAUGGGCCCUGAGGCGAAGCGUGUAAAGUAGGCCCCCCA